UACGUAGGGUGCAAGCGUUGUCCGGAAUUAUUGGGCGUAAAGAGCUCGUAGGCGGCUUGUCGCGUCUGCCGUGAAAACCUCAGGCUCAACCUGGGGCGUGCGGUGGGUACGGGCAGGCUAGAGUGCGGUAGGGGAGAUUGGAAUUCCUGGUGUAGCGGUGGAAUGCGCAGAUAUCAGGAGGAACACCGAUGGCGAAGGCAGAUCUCUGGGCCGCUACUGACGCUGAGGAGCGAAAGCAUGGGGAGCGAACAGG
rnacentral:rRNA from 1 species